CCACCAGCAAGUCAAGGUUUAAGAGGAUGUCACUGGACAUUCAGGCAGAGAAACCAGUCAUGGCUUCGCCUUUAGACUCAGACAGCUGCUUCCCAGGACCUUGCUCCUCCGAGGCUCAGGGCACGCCCGGGUCGAGGGAAGUUGUGUCCGAAAUGGUUUCUGAGCUUCUUGGAGGAAACGGAGUCACGGUAGAAAGAAAGACAAUCGUCUCACAAAUGGGUGGUGGCACCAACUCCUUCCAGGAUGGAGCUGAGGCUUCACUGAGACCACCAGAUCCAGAAGUUCACGGAAUGCUGUCCUGCUGAAAAGGCAAGAAUUGAUGCUGGGUGUGGGAAGCCCGGAUGAAAGUCAUCAGCCUUUUUUGCCUUUGGGGAAUAAUUUGUAAUCAAGAGAGAAAAGUGCUUUGUGUUUUCCUCGUUCCACCAGCCGACCCACAACAUCCUCCUUUUAACCCCUUGUGUGGCCUUCCCCGUUUCUGAGGUUGUGUGCUUCUCUUCCGUAUCUCAGGAGCUGGGGUUCUGCUGACGUGGAUCAAGCCCCACUCCUGGUUGCAACUGCAGAGAACACUUUUUUUUUGCCUUCUUGACCCCUGUGCUAUAAGGCCUGGCCGGACCCUUGGGCUGGGCUCAGAGACACGGUACCUUUCCUGCCAGCCAGAUGGAACCUCUCUCCUUCUUCCCCCUACACUGGAAAUCGUGGCCAUUACCCAGUGACAAUGCGCGCAUCAACUUCUUCCUCUAAAAAAGCAGCUAAUUAAGAAGAGUUCAAUGAAGAGAGCAGCUUGCGAACGUGUACCUGUGAUUCUUGUCCCUAACAGACCCUGAGGCUCUACCCGCUUUCUGGGUAAGGCACCGCCACUGCAUUAGAUGUUAGAAGGGAGCCCCUCCUCCGAAAACUGGGUGUAUGGCUAAGGAAGCCUUUUUCUGGGUCUCUAAAUAUCCACGCUUCUCAAAAUUUUCAUAGACUCCUCCUUUGGAAGAAAGGCCAAUUGUCUGUGCAUGACUGUGGAGGUGGAGAGACCUUCUUUUAAACACCCCCAAAUCUUUCCCUUGGGAACAGUCCUGAGAGCAGACGUGAUUUUACACUGGAGGCAGAGCUCACUGAGGCAGUGUGCAAUGACGUGAAGUGAUACUGGGUUCACCUGUUAGAAUAUAUACGGGCUGAGGAGGUUCUGAAGGUCAGAGAAGACCCAGUGCAAAGUUAAAUGAAGGAGCAGAGAAGAAAUAAGCAGAAGAUGUCAGAUCAAUGGAUUCCGUUCUAAGAAUAUCUCCUAGUGGGAUCUUUCAUUUCAUAAUAAAGCAAUGGGGAAAUUCUUUCUAAAGAGGUGG
rnacentral:lncRNA from 1 species